ensembl:lncRNA EIF1B-AS1 EIF1B antisense RNA 1
AGAGUUCGCAGGUCUGGGGCUCUCUUCCCAGAGAGCUCGUAGGGGAGGACAGUCAAGGGACUCAAGCGUCUCUCUUGACUCCCCUUCUCUCGCUGUGCAGUGGCGGCGCCGAGGGGUCGACGCUCAGGGCUAAUCUCUAUGAGUCACCCUCGAGGCCCCGGGUAAUAUUGGGUGGAUCACAAGAACUAAUCUUUCAUGAUUUGGAAACCGGAAGGAAAGAAGCACUUUUGUAGCUGACUUACCUCAAUGACAUGACCAGUGUCUGAGCCUACAACUGCGCUAUCUUCCCUGGAUUUUUCUUCACCUUUUCCUUACUCAUGAGCCAGGUCUUCAGAUCCUCAUAUUAGGUUCUGCUUCUGGUGGGAGUCAAACCAAGACGCCCACAUGAUGCAAAGUGGACUCCGAGCAUGGCUGUGGAGCACUCACUCUGAGAAGAAAGGAAAAGUCCUCUGGGCCUUCUAAUCUGUCACUGAGGCUGCUCUCUGGACCAUCUUUCAAGACUUGACUUAUACAUCACUCCUCAAUUGCAUAUGCUUGGCCUUCCUUCCUUGAGACGCUGGCUAUUCUGUUCUCUGAGCUUUGCCAAAAAGCUUUCAUUUCUUAACACUCAAACUAUAUUAUAGUUUAUUUUCUUGGUUGUCUACCCUACCCCUCAAUCCUGAUCAUGGGCUCCUUGAGGGCAGAGCCACGUCUUCUUCACUGCUAUGCCCCAAGCCCCUGGCCAACUUUGCGUCUCAUCCUGGGCACAUGAAUACUACUUGUUAAUGAAUACAGGCACCAAAGGCUAUAGGGGCGACGGGGCUCAUUGAGCAGCUCUCAAUGAGCCCUGCUGUCUACAGCUUCUCCUGGGGCCCUGGGAGGAAUCCAAAGGAGGCGACCCUUGAUAAUGCCACUCAGGGCUGGCUCUAGGGUUGACCAUGUUAUAAAUGUGGUCCCCUACAUGGUGAGGUGGCAUUUGACCCAUUGCCAGCUCUCCUUCUCCUGCUUUUUUACAACCCUAGGUUGCCUCAUGCCUCUUUGGAAGCUAGAAGUUGACCAAAUUUUCCCUCAGCAAACUUUUACUUCUUAGCAAAAACACAGAUGGCUCCCUGAAUACCCAGACAUGUGAAAACUUUGGUGGUUGUUGAGCAGCAUUAUCAAAGCUGCACCUGUGCUCCAAUACCACAGUCUCCCGGUCCAUCAGGAACACCCCUCGGGGAUCCUGCUCCCUCUUCCUCUUUCUCCAAAUUCCUGCUCUUCCAUUAUUGUGCAGACAACUAACUCUCACUGAGUGAUCCCAGAGCAGUGACAAUUCCCCGAUCUUUAUUUCCCCAACACUGAACACACGCAGCAUAUACAGCAGAUGCCUAAUCAAGGUUUAUAAAGUGAAAAUGCAUUUGGGGGAAACCCAUUAACUGCUAUAAGCAGCGUCAAGACUGAAAGCGGAGUUACUGUGGUUUACCCAAACCGCAGUGCCCCUAAGACUGACCCCAACUGUGCACGAACAGGCUCCUGAAUCAACCCUUCUCCUGAGGCAUAAACACAACUGCCAAAUAUAGCCCAGUGGGCAUUCACUUUCUAAGAUGACCUCCACCUUCGGAACGCUUCUAUUUGAUGUUUCUGCCCAACUGAGAUUGAGCAAUGCCUGUAGGAAUAAUUUGCUUCCUGCUAAACAUUUCAGACAUCCCUCAAGACCUCUGAGGCUGGCAUGGACAGUUUAGCAUGUCAAGGGCUAAAAAUUCCUCAGAAAACCAGAAGUUUUCCACCCAAGUCCUUUUUAAAAAAUUUUAAAUCUUUAUCCUGAGAGAUGCAUAGAGUUUUGAGCAGAAUGUGAAAUCUUUUUUUGGGUGUGUGAUGCUGUGGAACUAAGUUUUAUGUUUAUAUACAAUUGAAAAAUUACCUAUGGGUGCCUAAUUUUACAGAAAAUUAUGUACAAAAUCAUGUUUUGAAAACAAAAUUCCUUUGCAAAUUUAUUAUGAAUGCUCAUAAUCCAGUUGGAAACUAUUUUGUGAAAUAGAGCAUCUUGUAGUUGUUUUUAUAAUAUCCUACACAUUUAUCACUUUGCAAGUCUGAAUUUUUGUUUGUUUUUUGUUUGUUUGUUUUUAUGGUAGAGAGACACUUAUAAUGCAGUAGUUGAAAACCUGCAAAUUGGAGUCAUGCUGUUUGGAUUUGAGGACCAGCUCUGCCUACAUUGGCUGUGGGGUCUUGAACAAGUCACUUAACUUCCCUGUCCAUCAAUGUUCUUAUCUGCAAAACAAAAUAAUGACAGUGUCUGGUAAUGCUGUUGGAGGAAAA